AAAGAGAGGAAGUUUCUCCUCCUGAUUACACUCCGAAUUCCCUUGUAGGGAGCUGACUUCUCUCCACCCACUUCUUCCCCAAGAGCUCCUUCUCCCUUGAAGGUGAACUACCAACGCUAAAUCUAGGGUCCCAGAGUGACCCGCCGAAGGGACUUGAGUCUUGAUUUGAACUGAAAGGACAAAUGACCUCCCCCAGGCGGAUGGGGAGUGCGUGGAAAUGAUGUGAAAACUUCAGCAAAGUGCACAGCAGCCGCAGCAGGCAGAAGCCGGGACUCAGAUUGACAGGCAAACAAGCCAGCUCGUGCAAGGGGCCUCUGGGUGGCAGCUCCGGGCUGUUGGGUGUUGGACAACUUCUAGGCAACCCUGCCAUGGAUCAGGGGCAGGAACAUAGCACACUUUUUUUGCCCCACGCAACCGUUGCUGUCGCCUGAUAUUCAAGAAUUUUACUGGGAUAAUCGUCCAAAUGGAAUUCCAAGAAUUUUAUCCAAAUGGGGUGAAGCGCCUGCAGCACUGGAGAAAAUGAGCCCCGCCUAUCUUCCAUAGCAUCCAUGUCCUAAAGCAAUGCGAGAAGCCUGGAGGUAUCUUGAGCUUUAUCUAUUUUAGAACAACCGGAGUACCUGUUGUCUCACACUAUGUGCAUGCAUGUGUAAAGAAACACGCUUUUCCUAUGAUAUCUGCCUUUUCUGGGACCUUAUACUGUGCUGGGCAACAUGGAAAUCUGUAACCUGGGGGAAAUGGACAUGACAUCAAAUGCGGGCCCCUGACGGUGCAAGGUUGAUGAAACAAGUUCGUUCGCCUGUGGCUUCAGCUCCCAACUCAGGUGACCAAUGUCUGCAGGGAAAGCAAAACUGUGUGUGUUUUGCCUUUUGUUCCCUGUGACCCAUUGUUUCGAUUGUAAAUAAUGAUUUCAUGACAAGCUGCCUUGCUCUAAAAUCCAGUAGUAACUUGAGACCAGUGGUUAUUUGGCAAAAGACCUAGCCAUAUACCAGCAAGGAAAACAGUGUUUAACAGCAAAGACAGGCUACUACUGGAGCUGUUACCUCUAAGCAUGAGCAUAGAAAAUAGUCAAGCUCUAACCGUGGUUUGGAAAUAUUUUCGAAUUCUCUACUCUGCCUACUUGGGAUGAGAUGGGACCCAUAUUUUUGUCAUAUUACUCAAUGUAUCAUUUUGAGACGAAUACACUGAAUAACAACAUAAAAACCUAUAAAGAAGUUAGCCACGGAUAUGAGCUAUAAUCUUAGAUUAUUAUUUAAAAGAAUAAAAGAGCAAAAUUAUACAGAAUACAGAGGGACUCUCUGUAUCUCUGGAGGUACCGGUACAUAGCUUUCCUGAGUUGUCACAUGGCCAUGGAAGGGGGACCCUCUAUCUAGAGCAGUCCCCUAUACCUAAUUAAGUCUCAAAAUAAUCUUGGAGAAAAUCCACUGGAAUGAAGCAUUACAAGAAAAUGCACUUUUGGAAACUACAUCGAAGGCAUUUUUACCAUGCAGACUUUUGUUCCAGGCAUAAUUUUUAACAAGCUCAAGAUGUGGGGUAUUAAAUGAACUAUGGCAACGGAGAGCUUAGCAUCUGGCCACAUUGUAAACUGUCAAAGAUACGAAAACAUCGUCGCGGGCCAUGCGAUUGCAGUUAACAGGACCCGAAUGGAGUGGCGGUGCUCACCGUCUUGGUUUUCACAUGUGUAGUUUUGCUUUCUGGCUCACUUCUCCCUGUGAUCGAUUCCCAUGCAGAGCCAGUGCUCUCCAGGAGAAGGCCGAGAUUAGAACAAUGUCAGCCUCUGCUUUUAGCAGAGUGAUGAGGUCAUCAAUAAUGCAUUGGCCAUCUCAGGAACCUUGUGCACAUGGGCCUCGAAGCCGCCCCACAUUUAUUGCAGGACUCGCAGGUUUGAGCUAAGAUGUCACCACAUCUACUUUUGAGGCAGCUCCUGAUGCAUUCUCAACAAAUCUGGGAUGGGGGGAGGG